rnacentral:rRNA from 1 species
UACAGAGACUGCAAGCGUUAUUCGGAUUCACUGGGCGUAAAGAGCUCGUAGGCGGCUUGUCGCGUCGACUGUGAAAACCCGCGGCUCAACCGCGGGCCUGCAGCCGAUACUGCCGGGCUAGAGUCCGGAAGAGGCGAGUGGAAUUCCUGGUGUAGCGGUGAAAUGCGCAGAUAUCAGGAGGAACACCAAUGGCGAAGGCAGCUCGCUGGGACGGUACUGACGCUGAGGCGCGAAAGCGUGGGGAGCAAACAGG